UGAUUCAAUUAUACAUAUAUGUACAUUCUUUUUAAUAUUCUUUUCCAUUAUGAUUUAUCAUAGGAUGUUAAAUAUAGUUCCCUGUGCUAUACAAUAGGACCUUGUUGUUUAUCCAUUCUGUAUAUAAAACCUUACAUCUGCUGACCCCAGCCUCCUACUCCAUUCCUUCCCCAGUGUCCUUUCCCUUGGCAACCACCAGUCUGUUCCGUGUGUCUGUUUCACAGGUUCAUUUGAAAACACGCCUUCUGAUCAGAUACAGUGUGCAGUGGGGCUCCUCUAAUAGAACAUCUAAGGUCACAAUUGUCUCAAAUGAACUGGGACUAUGUUGGCAUCCAUAUUUCACAACUGCCUCUUGUUCCAUCUCCCACAAGCCCCAAGUUGGAGGAUGAGUAUCAGCCAGCCACUAGGAAGGAAGGGACAUGAUGAAAUAAGUCAUCCCAGUCCGGCUGCUGUGUUGCCCGAGUUGUGUUGUUUUACUCUGUGGUGAACAGGGAAGGACCUCAAAUCAAGGAGUAGCUUGAGAGAUUUCCUGUUUUUCCUGUCACUGUUUUUAGGGGAAUGUUAGCAUGUGCCUGCAAGCUAAGUCACUUCAGUCGUGUCUGACUCUUUGCAACCCCAUGGACUGUAGCCCCACCAGGCUCCUCUGUCCAUGGGAUUCUCCAGGAGUGGGUUGCUGUGUCCUCCUCCAGGGGAUCUUCCUGACCCAGGGAUGGAACCCCAUCUCUUAAUGUCUCCUGCAUUGGCAGGCAGGUUCUUUAACACUAACACCACCUGGGAAACCUGAAUGUUAGCAUAUGCUAUUGCUAAUUGGACAAGCAUUCUUUUCCUCUUGAACAAGGCACCUAAAGCCCCAGUUUUUUAGCAGGUUCAAAGCCCACCUCUGUCUGCACUCUUGCCAGUGCAGCACUGUGUGAUUGCCUGUUAACUUCGUUCUCCUCUUUAGUAAUAGACUGUAAAGGAAGGUGAUUAACACAAAAGAAACCUCAAGUUGGUGGGGUUUCUGGCUGGGAGGAUUUUCCAAUUCCUCUGAAAUCACACAUCAGAUAGCCUCCUCCUGCUUCAGGUUGAGUAAAGUGAGUGCUGGGCUUAAGGAGAGCCCUCCAGGUGGGGAGGAGAUAACAGACCCGGGAAUGCUUGCAUCUCCCCACCCCCACUCAGCUCUCUUUUUGCUUAUACCUGAGGCAGGUGGGGUCUUAAAGUAACAGCUUGAUGGUCUGCCCACUGAGAUUGCCUUCCCUGGAUGGACGCCUGGUUUCUUUCUGUCGCAGACUGAGAUCCGUGCCCCUCCACUUCCUGUGUUCACUCUGGCCCCUGGGCUCCUCUUUCUUCUCUGUGGACUGAGAAAGAAGACAUGGGAAAAGGCAGGGUGAUGCCCUGGAGGAGCUGGAAGCUCUGCAGUUCUCACUGGGGUAGGGAGGGGAUAUUCUGAGGGUAGAUUCUGGAUCUUAAAUAUUUGGGAAUCUGAGGGUAGAAGAAAGUGUGUGGAAGAAAAGAAGACAUCCGUCAGAGCUAUAGGAUCUGGAAAAAGAGGUCACAGCACUGCAGUUAGGGGACCUGUGUCCCAGACCUGGUGAAGGGGGUGACAUCAGCCCACAAUGGUGCCUUCAAGUCAGUUGAAAGACUUUUGAUUUUAAUGUUAUACCAAGGGUCCUGCCAGGGAAAUGCAGACCCUUGGUCCUUCGAUAUUCAGCGACCUGGUCUCCUCGUCAGUAAAGACUGUUUUACUAAUAGCAUUAAGAGGUGUCGUCAAUAACAUAGUAGUAAGGAGUAGAGACAGACUUCCACGGCACCCCCACCCAUGUGUCACACCAGCUCAAGAUGUUCUGUCAUCUCAGAGGAGGCAAAACGGCUGCAAUUGUGCAAAAUAUGAUAAACCACAAAACAAAAUAGAACAUGACAUCUGCUCUUUAAAUAGUGAAACCUGAGCUGCAGUGUUAUGGGUUUGGCAAACUUGCUGUGUGCGUAUCAUUCUGAACACUGAAGAUGAAGAUAAACUAUAUGGACUGGCUCCUGCAUUAGAUGAUUCCUUUCCCAUCUCAGUUUGUCUCCAUCAGGGAGUAGAAGUGGGGACGGGUGUGGCAGGAC